GGGUGUGUAAGCGCUGUGAGGCGUUGAGCUAACCAAUACUAAUUGCCCGUGAGGCUUGACCAUAUAACACCCAAGCA
rnacentral:rRNA from 1 species